CACUGCGGAAACCUUGUGACUCAGAGCAAAAAGAGGAAACUGUGUUGAAGAAUCAGCCAUGUUUACCCCUACGGAAGCACUUUUGUCUGGAGCAACAAGCUUCUCUUCCUGAUUCUUCAUCCGACAUAGAAUCUGCUGAAAUGCUCUUAUAUGCCAUGGAGCCAUGGAGUACACAAAAACCGGCAAUGAGACCUCCCCUUUUG